AUAACAAACUGAAUUUGACCCGGCAGAAGUGUUGGGCGAAAUUUCAGAAAUGAAAACCUGCUGCCGCAUCUGUUUUCGGAGCAGAAUUUGGAGGGUUUGGAGUUCGAAUUUGAAAACUAUUUAUUCGUAAAAAUCGUAGAUAACCUGGAGGAGUUUAAGUAUGUGUUUAUGUUUGUCCAAUUUGAUCAAGUUUUACGGCUUGUUUGGGGUGAGGAACAGUGGAGUCUGAAG
rnacentral:lncRNA from 1 species